rnacentral:rRNA from 1 species
UUUUAUCUCGAAAAUAAAAGAUCUAAAUUAAAAUCGUUAGUUCUUGUAUCAAGAAGAUUAAGGAGUUAAAUUUAGGUGUAAAAUGCAAAUCGUUUUUAUUAAUAUCUAGUAACUUUAGAAAUAAAUUUAGUUUAGGAUUUUAAGGGGGUAAGUUAUUAUUAUUUAACUCUUUUUAAAAUCUUAUAUUUUAAGGGAUAAGCUUUAAAAUAAAAUUAAAAGAGAGAUAGUUUAGAAUUUUUAGUAGGCUUAGAAUUAGCCAUAGGAUAAUGUUAUAAUGUAUAAGGAUUAAUAUAAAAUUUUGUAGUCUUUUAAAAAUAUAAAGUUAGUUAAUGAACUAUAUAAUUAUUGUAAACAUGAUAGUAUUAGUAGAUAUAGAAUAUAUAAAAAAAAAAAUAAAAUUAUUUUUGUGAUGUAUUAUUUAAGAGAUAUAAUAAAAGAAUUCGGCAAAUGAGAUUUCCGAAUGUUUAACAAAAACAUUUCCUCUUAUUUAUGGGAGGUAAGACCUGCUCACUGAAAAUUUUGAAGAGCCGCAGUAUUUUAACUGUGCUAAGGUAGCAUAAUCAUUAGUCUUUUAAUUGGAGACUGGAAUGAAUGGUUAAACGAGAGAUCAGCUUUUUUUAUUAUAGUAAUUGAAUUUAAUUUUUUAGUGAAAAAGCUAAAAUUUAUUAGAAAGACGAGAAGACCCUAUAGAGUUUUAUAUUUUUUUAUUUUCUUUAAAAAUAGAUUUUAGAUAAAAAAAAGUAAGAAGGUAUUUUGUUGGGGCGAUAUUUAGAUAAUAAAAACUCUUUAUUUUUUAAACUUUUAUAAAAGUAUAAUUUGAUCCUUAAAAAAAGAUUAAAAGAAAAAAUUACCUUAGGGAUAACAGCGUAAUCUUUUUUGAGAGUUCUUAUCGACAAAAAGGUUUGCGACCUCGAUGUUGGAUUAAAAUUUAGGCA